GCAGUCGAGCGAAUGACGAGGAGCUUGCUCCUCUGAUUUAGCGGCGGACGGGUGAGUAACACGUGGGUAAUCUGCCUGUAAGACGGGGAUAACUCCGGGAAACCGGGGCUAAUACCGGAUAAUAAGAAGAAACGCAUGUUUCUUUUUUGAAAGUCGGUUUCGGCUGACACUUACAGAUGAGCCCGCGGCGCAUUAGCUAGUUGGUGAGGUAACGGCUCACCAAGGCGACGAUGCGUAGCCGACCUGAGAGGGUGAUCGGCCACACUGGGACUGAGACACGGCCCAGACUCCUACGGGAGGCAGCAGUAGGGAAUCUUCGGCAAUGGGCGAAAGCCUGACCGAGCAACGCCGCGUGAGCGAUGAAGGCCUUCGGGUCGUAAAGCUCUGUUGUUAGAGAAGAACAAGUACGAGAGUAACUGCUCGUACCUUGACGGUACCUAACCAGAAAGCCACGGCUAACUACGUGCCAGCAGCCGCGGUAAUACGUAGGUGGCAAGCGUUAUCCGGAAUUAUUGGGCGUAAAGCGCGCGCAGGCGGUCUCUUAAGUCUGAUGUGAAAGCCCACGGCUCAACCGUGGAGGGUCAUUGGAAACUGGGAGACUUGAGUGCAGGAGAGAAAAGUGGAAUUCCACGUGUAGCGGUGAAAUGCGUAGAGAUGUGGAGGAACACCAGUGGCGAAGGCGGCUUUUUGGCCUGUAACUGACGCUGAGGCGCGA
rnacentral:rRNA from 1 species